rnacentral:rRNA from 1 species
AACGAACGCUGGCGGCAUGCCUAACACAUGCAAGUCGAACGAGACCUUCGGGUCUAGUGGCGCACGGGUGCGUAACGCGUGGGAACCUGCCCUUAGGUUCGGAAUAACUCCCCGAAAGGGGUGCUAAUACCGGAUCAUGUCUUCGGACCAAAGAUUUGUCGCCUUUGGAUGGGCCCGCGUUGGAUUAGCUAGUUGGUAGGGUAAAAGCCUACCAAGGCGACGAUCCAUAGCUGGUCUGAGAGGAUGAUCAGCCACACUGGGACUGAGACACGGCCCAGACUCCUACGGGAGGCAGCAGUAGGGAAUAUUGGACAAUGGGCGAAAGCCUGAUCCAGCAAUGCCGCGUGAGUGAUGAAGGCCUUAGGGUUGUAAAGCUCUUUUACCCGGGAUGAUAAUGACAGUACCGGGAGAAUAAGCGCCGGCUAACUCCGUG